CCUCUCUGGCCUCCUUGCCUUGUCCUGGUCUAGAGGUGUUAAACAGUACUGAGUUAGGGCCAGGAAAGCCAGGAUGGGUUGCUUUGCUUCAAGAGAAGGCUUGUUGUCUGGGCUGGCACCUGCCACCUGUGACAUGAAUCCAACAAGAAAUUAGGGGCUCUUACUGACUGAAGCGCUUGACCAUCUUAGCACUGAAGGACUCGUCUUCCAGCAGCCAAUCCCAUUGUUCAUCACAAAUGCUUCCAACAUAGCACGUGUGCUCCAGGAUUCCACCAAUGGUCCUCAAAGAUUGCCCCAACUCGGGAAGCCUUUGAGCACAGGCAACCCCUCUCCAUGUGGAAGCUCUUGAGAACACACACACACAUGAACCAUGCCAUGUUAAGUGGAGGUGACGAAGGAUGAGACUGUAGCCGUGUCAUUGACCAAGCCUGAGUCGUCUUCUGUGCACAUCUGGACUCAGAAGAGGCCCACACCCAGAACCACAAUGACAGGUAGCUAGGUGGCUCCCAAGGAAACGUAGCUGAACAUCCCAGCAUGCCCUGCACCUUUGCAGGGACAGGGCUCACAGCCACUGUGCAGAUGUGGCAAUCCCUCUGGGUGGCAAGGCAGUGUGGCUUUGUUUGGGUGCCUGGAGCCGAUAGUCCUGGUGUUCCCCUCACUCUAUGGUGGGUGCUGGCCAUGUCCUUAGAGGGAGCUGGUUUGUUGUAGGAAGUCAGUAAUUUAAUAAAGACU